UAACAUUGUAUGUCAAUUUGGGUAAAAUAAUUACCCGUUUUAGCCCAUAUUUGUUUUCUUACACGCUAUAGCCUUCGAUCCACCGGCGGCGUCUCCCACUGUUUCCCGUCCAAACAGCCACCAGCAACAUACCCUUUCUCCACCACCAUCUCACUGUCCCAACCACUUUUACACACCAUAGAACCAUCAUAGGAACGUAUAAACAGACCCAUAAACCCCUAACCCACUGGUCAUCACCUUCACCUUCUCGUCAACACCCCGUCGCCGUCGUCGGUGGUUGCGUCGUCACCGUACAGCUCGGAUCUAGCCAGACUGGCCGAUGAUUUGAACCCCGAUGAAGUCACUUUUGUGACGUUUGACGCUGUGUUUUACGCUGCUAGAGAAGUCGCCGGAGAGGUUGUCACCGGCGUCCUCUUCGUUGUACGGAUCUCCACCGGAGGAGUUUGUCUUCUUCAUCUACCACCAGAUCUACACCAGAUCUCCCGUUGAUGGUGGUUGCGCCGUCGCCAGAUCUAGGAUUCCGCCGCCGACAGCCACAGCGGGUAAAAACUCCGGCUGCGACUACCACUGCUCCAUCUCUCACACCACCGCCACUGCCAGCCCCUUCCCCUUUUCCCUUUCUUCUCCGGUGAAAAACCGAUGCUCCGGCGAACUCCGUCAACAACACGGUGACAAACCACAACAUAUAAGUGGUAGUCUGUAGGCGUGAAACCACCAACCCCGCCAUAGUAGCCGUGAAACAACCAUCUUCACCACCUCCAUGCCGCCACAAACUAGCCGGAGCAAUGACGGAGCUAUGCCCAAACACAGCAGAUCUGGGCACAAAACUCCGGCGAAGGGCUGUUGUUGUUGUUAUGAAAUUUCUGGCAUAUCUGGCCGGAAUUAGUGUUUGGUGUUGUUGUAUUCACUAAUACGGCGAUUGUAUUCACUUUUUUGAGCUUUUUUUGUUAAAAUUUUAGAUUGUAUUCAUUUUUUUUUUUGUCGACAGAUCUGCCGGAACUAGUGGUUGGUGUUAUUGUAUUCACGAAUACGGCAAUUGUAUUCACUUUUUUGAGCUUUUUUAGAUUUGUUAAUUUUUGGUGUAUCUAUAUUUUUAUGUAUUCAGUUUUACUCGAUGUAUUCAUGAAUACAACGAGCCCGUUUAUGAAUACAGAUAGUCAUUUCAUGA